GCUGGGUGUGGUGGUGUACACCUGUAGUCUCAGUUACUUGGGAGGCUGAGGCAGGAGAAUUGCUUGAACCCAGGAGGUGGAGGCUGCAGUGAGCUGAGAUCGCACCACUGCACUCCAGCCUGGGCAACAGAGCAAGAUUCUGUCUCAA
rnacentral:SRP_RNA from 1 species